AGGUGGUGCAUGGCUGUCGUCAGCUCGUGUCGUGAGAUGUUGGGUUAAGUCCCGCAACGAGCGCAACCCUUAUUCUAUGUUGCCAGCGGAUUAUGCCGGGGACUCGUAGAAGACUGCCGGGGUCAACUCGGAGGAAGGUGGGGACGACGUCAAGUCAUCAUGCCCCUUAUGUCCAGGGCUGCAAACACGCUACAAUGGCCGGUACAAAGGGCUGCAAGUUCGUGAGGACAAGCGAAUCCCGUAAAGCCGGUCUCAGUUCGGAUUGGAGGCUGCAACUCGCCUCCAUGAAGCUGGAGUUGCUAGUAAUCCCGGAUCAGCACGCCGGGGUGAAUACGUUCCCGGGUCUUG
rnacentral:rRNA from 1 species